rnacentral:rRNA from 1 species
CGGACGGGUGAGUAACGCGUGGGUAACCUGCCUUGUACAGGGGGAUAACAGUUGGAAACGGCUGCUAAUACCGCAUAAGCGCACAGCAUCGCAUGAUGCAGUGUGAAAAACUCCGGUGGUAUAAGAUGGACCCGCGUUGGAUUAGCUAGUUGGUGAGGUAACGGCCCACCAAGGCGACGAUCCAUAGCCGACCUGAGAGGGUGACCGGCCACAUUGGGACUGAGACACGGCCAA